rnacentral:rRNA from 1 species
UACGAGGGGGGCAAAUGUUGUUCGGAAUCACUGGGCUUAAAGCGUGUGUAGGCGGGUUGGUAAGUCUGUUGUGAAAUCCCACGGCUUAACCGUGGAAUUGCUGGGUAUACUGCCGAUCUUGAGUCAUCUAGAGGUAACCGGAACAGAUGGUGGAGCGGUGAAAUGCAUAGAUAUCAUCUGGAACGCCAAUGGUGAAGACAGGUUACUGGGGAUGUACUGACGCUGAGGCACGAAAGCCAGGGGAGCAAACGGG